AAAUUCUAUGAUUUAAGCUGUUUUUGAGGGUUUUUGUAAAAAAACACCCGAAUCCAAAACACACCCGAAUCCGACAAAAAAUUUUCAGGGAAGUUUUGCUAAAACGCGUCCGAAUCCAAAACACGGCCGCGGAACCGAAUCCAAAACCGAAACACAAAAUCCGAAAAAUUUCCGGUGCACAUCACUAGUUCUGUUUGAAUUUCUCAGCUACUGCUUGUUUCUUUUUAACAUUUUGUUUUAACAUUGGUGUGACAUUGCUGCUAGUAUUGUAUUGUUGUAGAUGUAAUGCUCUGAGUAUGAAAUCUGCUAAUUGAAGAAGUGUGUUUUAGUGGAGUAAUUGCUCCAUAUGUCAUGAUUCAUCACGCUGCAUCUGUGUGAAACCAGUACUAUAAAUGACAGGCAUUACGUCCAGAAGACCAGCCUCCUGAUGAAGCUACAUGCGAAACUAGUAGAGGCAUGACCUGCUAGACAUACCCAUCUCCAAGCUGACCACCGGUCUGUGCCUUCUGCCUGUGUUGGUGUCUCGAUGAGCCGCGGCAUUGUCCCGUAAGCCGCUGGCGCGGUGUGAGGUCCCGGUUCCCAGUGCAGCACAGCUCUUACCGACAGGGAAAGAUUGGAGCAUUUACUUUGUAUACAUCAUGUGGUAACCAGUCCACACGGGGCGAGCACAACGGCAAGCUGCUGCUGGAAGCCCGGACCAAUCCCCUUCUUAGCCCCCCUCCCCUUCUGUUGCCCAAUCCCCCUCUCCUUCCCAAUCCCCUUCUCAGCCCCCCUCCCCUUCUGUCGCCCAAUCCCCCUCUCCUUCCCAAUCCCCUUCUCAGCCCCCCUCCCCUUCUGUCGCCCAAUCCACCUCUCCUUCCCAAUCCCCUUAUCAGCCCCCCUCCCCUUCUGUCGCCCAAUCCCCCUCUCCUUCCCAAUCCCCUUCUCAGCCUCCCUCCCCUUCUGUCGCCCAAUCCCCCUCUCCUUCCCAAUCCCCUUCUCAGCCCCCCUCCCCUUCUGUCGCCCAAUCCCCCUCUCCUUCCCAAUCCCCUUCUCAGCCCCCCUCCCCUUCUGUCGCCCAAUCCCCCUCUCCUUCCCAAUCACCUUCUCUGCCCCCCUCCCCCUCUCUUUACCAAUACCCCUCUCUGUCCCCCUCCCCCUCUGUAGGCCAAACCAACACUCCGCCCACCUCCCCCUCUCUUUCCCAUUCCCCCUCUCUGGCCCCCUCCCCCUCUGUGGCCCAAACACCCUCUCUGCCCCCCUCCCCUCUCAAUCAGACCCACCCUCUGUAAACAGCUCCCCAUUCCAUCCUCCUUCCCCAAUUCAUCCUCCUUCCCCAAUCCUUACUCCUUCCCCAAUCCAUCCUCCUUCCCCAAUCCAUCCUCCUUCCCCCAUCCAGCCUCCUUCCCCCAUCCAGCCUCCUUCCCCACCCAGUGAAUGGGCAGCAGAAGCCCCUGCGGAUCUUCAGGGUAGUGCGCAUGUGGCAGAUGAGAAUGGUGCAGUUGGAGAUCCCACAAGCCUGCCUGGCAUCCUUGCUAGCCUAAAGGCAAAUUUGCAGGCCAUGCUGGCCGAUGUUGACCGGCUGCAACAAUUUUUUAAAAAGAAAACUAUUUUUUAUUUGUUCCAAAAAAAAAUAUGUUCAAAAAUAAAAAAAAUUAU